CCUAUGUUGUUUUAUGUAGCGCAUGGUCCUGGAGGAAUGUUGUCUCAUUUCACUCUGUACUGUACUAACUCUAUAUGGUUGAACGACAAUAAAAACCACUUGACUUGAAUUUCCCUUGUCUCACUAGCUGCUGCCUGCCCGUCAGAAAGCUGGAGAUCCACUGACAGAUAGACAUGGGAAGAGAGCUGGUGUAGUUUAGUCUGGAGGAUGAUGGUGUUGAAAGCCGAACUGAAGUCCACAAAAAGGAUCCUUGCAUAUGUCCCUGUCCAGAUGGUGCAGGAUAAUAUGCCAUCAAACUGAAAAUUAUGCCAAUUAUGACUAAAUUAUUAAUGAUAAAGUUAAAAGGAUGUGUUAUUCACAGUACUUCCACCACCUUCAACGCCGAUCAGCUCACCUUGCUUGGCCGCUCAAAGUCUGGUGUCAGCGGCAUCUGAGGUUGUUCUCCCGCAGGCCUGGAAGCGCUCCCUUCCUAAAGAACAGCACGAGUGGAUCGGCCGCUCCCUCUUCCGAAAACAGGGUGGAAAGGCAGUGCUGACUGAUAACCUGCAGAUGUGGUGGUACCCUCCCCAGCCACGUCUGCAGUAUCAUCAGGUUCUGAGGUUGUUCUCCCCGAGUCCUGGAAAUAUUCCCUUCCAAAACAAUAGCACGAGUGGAUCGGACGCUCCCUCUUCCGACAACAGGGUAGACUUGUUUUUUUUCCCCUCUGUGUUUUAACAGGUUCUCUUGUGAACCCGUGUCUCUGUGACGGGUAGGUCUACCUCGACUUACCAGCGUUCACGCACGGGUCCCCCUCACCCCAUUGGCUGGUCGAAGAAUUUUAUUCAUAAAUGCAGUUUUCAGGAGGAAUGAGACGACAAAUGAGCAGACAGUUGUCAGCCUGGCUUCACUGAAGAGCUGUUUUAACAGGUAAGAGAAUAUAUGAAAAAUAUGAUACUAUCAGUUUUUAUUGCCAAUGAAGGUACUUUGUCUUAUAAAAUCUCUGUAUUUCAGAUAGUUAUAACUUUUAAUAUUAAUAGAAAAGUUGACCCAAAAAUGUAAAUUCUGUCAUCAUAUACUCAACCUCAACUUUCUUUUGCAGUA